rnacentral:rRNA from 1 species
UACGUAGGUGGCAAGCGUUGUCCGGAUUUACUGGGCGUAAAGAGCGCGCAGGCGGUCGUUCAAGUCGCGUGUGAAAGCCCCCGGCUCAACUGGGGAGGGUCACGCGAUACUGAUCGACUCGAAGGCAGGAGAGGGAAGUGGAAUUCCAGGUGUAGCGGUGAAAUGCGUAGAUAUCUGGAGGAACACCGGUGGCGAAGGCGGCAUCCUGGACCAAUCCUGACGCUGAGUGAGCGAAAGCCAGGGGAGCAAACGGG